CUUGAAUCCGGGAGGCAGAGGUUGCAGUGAGCUGAGAUCGCACCACUGCACUCCAGCCUGGCGACAGAGCGAGACUCUGUCUCAAACAACAACAACAACAACAAAAAACAUGGUGGAGUGGAGAAAGUUCCAGAACAGCCUGCAUAGCAGGAAUCUCCUCAGGGCUGGGCCGUGGGAGUGCUGGCCAACGUGCCAGGCAGGGAGGACCUGAAUUCCUGAAGGUGGUGGUGGCAGCUGUUAGGGUCCACAGGUUAAUGAUCUCCAACGUCACACAGAAGAGAAUGUGCUGAGGUGUGACCUCCCUCACCCUGCCUUGGCUGCGUGGGGCACCGUCUCUCCAGGACUCACCCUGCCCCCCAAUAGACUGAAGUCUGAAGAUCAGCCCAGUCUUCCUUCAGGCCUCAAUGCCCUCUCACUUCCCCAGCCCGAGGGACUCCUGGCUCUUCUCGGAGGCUGCUCUGUGGGGUCCCUCCCUUGGGCCUUUGCUAAUGCUGUGCCCUCUGCCUGUGCCAGAGGUGGGCCUGGGCCCGUUUCUCAGGGAGCUCCUGAACACCAAGAAAUUGAAUUGCUUUGUAAAUAAACAAAAAGUGCCAAACAAGCCUGCCUGUCACUUGGGAGAUGGCCCGUCUCUGCCCCACCAAAUUUGCUAAUCAAACAAAUAACCUAAAAUAGAAUAGAAAGAACUCAUCUAGACUUUUCUUGUACCUCUGCUCCCCAAACAGCUUCUCUUUUCAGGUCUCCGGAGCAGCCCUGUUCUCUCUAGCCCAGGCCUCUGUCAAAAAUUC
rnacentral:lncRNA from 1 species